GGAGAGCCUGCCUGUGGGUUGAAGAUUUGACAAUGAUGUCCUUGGACCAGCUUUUGUUCCCUCAGAUCUGAACUGCUCCCAAGUCUGUGGAUCAAUGGAACGACACUAAAUGGCACAGAUACACCACGUCACGCAGAAUUUCAGGGGAUUUAACUUAUCUGAACAUAUCACGUGUGAAAAGGCUUUUUCCGAGCCCUGUAGAUGGGUCAGGGAUAUGGAAAGUUAGGUGUUUUAACAGAUGCCUGUGAAGUUUGCAUUUAAAAGUUUUCCAGCCACCUAUUCUGCCUGAAAUCGAUGCAGAUAGUAUGGUGCUGUGCCUCGGGACCUGCUCAUGUUGGGAUGCCUUUUUGAUUCUGACACACUGCUAUGUUUGGAAACACCGCUUUGGAACAAGAUCUUCCAGACAAAGGUUUGGAUACCCAGAGGUAUCAGAAUAUCUAUUUUAAACGAAUUAUGUCAUUAUUCAAAUUGUAUUCAAUACGCAUGGGAAAAAUUUUAUAGUUGGGAGUAAGGAUCAAGACAAGGCAAUUUCUACAGUACGCAGGGGUUCUUAACUUUUUGUAUGCCAUGUUUACUGCUAUGAUUUGAAUGUGUCCUCCAAAUUUCAUGUGUUAAAAACUUAAUCCCCAAAUUCAUAUUUUGACUGGAGUUGGGGUCUUUGGACAGUAAUUGGGAUUAGAGAAGUUCAUCAGGGUGGGCUCCUUAUGUCGGGACUGGUGGCUUUAUAAGACAAAGAAGAGAGCCCUGAGCUGGCACAAACGUUCUUGCCCUUUGUGGUGGUUAAUUCUGUCAACUUGAUUGGAUUGAAGGAUACAAAGUAUUGAUCCUCAGUGUGUCUGUGAGGGUGUUGCCCAAAAAGAUUACCAUUUCAGUCAGUGGGCUGGGAAAGGCAGAUCCACCCUUAAUCUGGGUAGGCACAAUCUAAUCAGAAGGCUGAAAAAU
rnacentral:lncRNA from 1 species